AACGAACGCUGGCGGCGUGCCUAACACAUGCAAGUCGAGCGAGAAAGCCCGCAAGGGUGAGUAAAGCGGCGCACGGGUGCGUAACACGUGGGUAAUCUGCCCUGAAGUCCGGAAUAACUCGCCGAAAGGCGUGCUAAUGCCGGAUAAGACCACGGGAGCCUCGGCUCCUGCGGGAAAAGGUGGCCUCUGUACACAAGCUAUCACUUCAGGAUGAGCCCGCGGCCCAUCAGCUCGUUGGCGGGGUAAUGGCCCACCAAGGCUACGACGGGUAGCUGGUCUGAGAGGACGAUCAGCCACACUGGAACUGAGAUACGGUCCAGACUCCUACGGGAGGCAGCAGUGGGGAAUCUUGCGCAAUGGGCGAAAGCCUGACGCAGCAACGCCGCGUGUGUGAUGAAGGUCUUCGGAUCGUAAAGCACUGUCGCGAGGGACGAAUAAGGGGCGGGCUAACAUCCCGUUCCGAUGACGGUACCUCGAGAGGAAGCACCGGCUAACUCUGUGCCAGCAGCCGCGGUAAUACAGAGGGUGCAAGCGUUGUUCGGAAUUAUUGGGCGUAAAGCGCGUGUAGGCGGCUUUGUAAGUUGGGUGUGAAAGCCCUCGGCUUAACCGAGGAAGUGCGCCCAAAACUGCAUGGCUUGAGUACCGGAGAGGGUGGCGGAAUUCCCGGUGUAGAGGUGAAAUUCGUAGAUAUCGGGAGGAACACCAGCGGCGAAGGCGGCCACCUGGACGGAUACUGACGCUGAGACGCGAAAGCGUGGGGAGCAAACAGGAUUAGAUACCCUGGUAGUCCACGCCGUAAACGAUGAGCGCUAGGUGUUGUGGGUGUUGACCCCUGCAGUGCCGCAGCUAACGCAUUAAGCGCUCCGCCUGGGAAGUACGGCCGCAAGGCUA
rnacentral:rRNA from 1 species